UCUACCAACAUCUACAUCCAACAGCCAGUGUCCUCUUCCGAUUUCACUCUGAAUUUCAGCCCGUGAAGAAGCCACAAUCUAGCAGCAUUUUUAGGACGUUAUCUAAAGACAAUGUUAGUGGUAUGGUUUGAAACUGAACUGCCCCUCAUGAACUGUCUCAUGUUUUGAAUGCAUGGUCUCUAGCUGGUGAUGUUGAUUUGGAAAGUUCUGGAAACUUUUGGGAGUAGGGCCUAGCUGGUGGAAGUAUGUGACUAGGGAUGAGCCUUCGAAGGGCAUAACCAACCUUGGCUCUUGUCCCUCAUCCUGUUUCCUAGUUAGCCAUGAGUUGAACUGCCUCUGCCACACUGCUACCGUAAACUGAAGUCUCCAUCCUGCCUUUCUGGCCACUGCCGGCUGAAGCCCUGGAGCAGUCACUGAACUUAGGAAGAGCAGAUAGAUGCUCCUGAAGUUAUCUCACCCUCUCAUAUGACUUACUGGGGGAUAAAACACGAGGAGUUUGGAGACAGAUGUCAAUGAUGACAAAAGGCACUCUACUUACAGGAACUUAAAAGCCAAAUGUUCACUGAGAUGAGCACAGAGCAGGGGCCAGUACCAACAUCGGGGAACUUUCACGUUCAGUCAAGUCUCACUGUGUACCACUCAUUCACCAUGGCUGAAGCAACACUGUCAACUGUUACACCCUUCGAGUAUAACAAGCCAACUAGCAUUUCAUGAGGAGGAAAAAAAGACAAAAGAGCUUGGUUCUGUUUUGAAGACAAACUUAAACUACCCUCUCAUCGGAGACCUCCUGGGUUCACCUUCUGAGGAAAGAAAGCUACACUUAACCUGCACAUCAGAUGGCGGCUCUGGCUGUCUACCUGGAGUUAUGAAGAAGAAAACAGCAAAUCAACACAGAACUGGAAGUGUGGACACUAACCUCCCACGUCAGGUUAACUCCCCCUCGAGAUGAUGUAUAAACACAUCUCUGAAUUGUUUUCCCUUCUAUACAACAGCCAAGUGUGUGUGUGAUAGAGUGAUGAUGAAAUAUACACACAACUAAAGAACCUGAAAGUAUACACAACUAUGGUUUUACUAAUGACCUUAUAUCCUUGAAAAUAACCAAUAUGGUCUAUCAAUGAGGCUAAUAGUUUUAAAAAUCACUGAAAACUCACAACACAACAGAUGGAAUUAUUUUGACUGGCUUCUGACACAGAUAUAAGCGCAAGUAGGACAUUAUGUAAACUCCCUGGGCAGACCCUCAUAAGCACACAUGGAAUACCCUUUGGUCAGCCUUGAAUCUCUCUAUCUCUCUAUCAUCUAUCUAUCUAUCUAUCUAUCUAUCUAUCUAUCUAUCUAUCUAUCUAUCUAUCUAUCUAUCUAUCUACUAUCUAUCUAUCUCUCUAUCUAUCUCUCUAUCUAUCUCUCUAUCAUCUAUCUAUCUCUCCCUCUCUCUCUCUCUUCCCCAUCCCCUCCCUUGCUCCCUCUCUGACUCACAGAACAGCAGCUCCCACAUGAAAUACAGCUUGGUUCCAUUAGGCAAAGGGCCACUGAAAAUCAUUUGUAAGUAAGUAAGAUGAACUCAUAUCAGCACUGUGGAAGAUAUGCUUUGACUAGUCAUUACAGCUCU